CGAGAUAAUUGUUAAGGCAGAAAACACGCCUUUCUGAGUUUCUGGGGUUACAGUUACACUAAACACUCAGGCCUCCCCCCUCAUUCACUCCUUUCCGUCCUCUCCUCUGCGCCGUUCCCAACCUCACCCUCACUCACUCCUCUUUGCGACGCCGCUGUCACCACUGUUCGUCGCACCUCCUUGGCCGAGACCCUGCGUUCUCAUUUAAUCUAACUUCACGUUAAAGGGGCAUCCCGCCGUCGCUUCUGCCUGCUGCACCCUCGCCGUCGCUGCUGCCUGCUGCACCCUCGCCGUCGCUGCUGCCUGCUGCACCCUCGCCGUCGCUGCUGCCUGCUGCACUCUCACCGUCGGGGAUUCCUUUGCCCUUUCUUUGAGCCUCUGCUUGUUAAUUUAGAAGUUCAAUGGGUCUUAAACAAUGCCAAGUUUGCAACGAAGCACAAUCCAAGUACAAGUGCCCUUCAUGUUAUGUGCCUUAUUGUUCUCUGGCAUGUUUCAAGAAUCACAAAGAAUUUCCAUGUGAGAAGCCGUCUGCUCAAGAGGACAAAACAACUGCUGUUUCAGAAUCACUUGUAGAAAAGCCAUUAAUUGUUGAUGAACCUAUUGAGGUACUGCAAAAACACCAACUGGAUGCUAUAGUGUCUUCCAAUGAGAUCCGUGAUGCUUUGAACAAUAAAGCCCUUCAAGAACUAGUUUGCAGCAUUAAUUGUUCCCCAAAUCCUGAGAACGAACUUGAUAAAGCUAUGGCUGAGGAGGCAUUUCACUUGUUCACAGAUAAGAUUUUAUCAACUAUCAAUCCCUAACUGCAUGUACUAGUUGCUGAAAGAAGAGUUUGUAGCAGAAAGUUAAAUGUGAGAAGAGUUGACGAUAAACUAAAUUUUACGGUGUUUGGUUAGUUAUUUUCUGUAGUGUUAUUUGUACUUAAUUUUGGAACUUAUUUUAAAGCACAGACGAAGGUGUCUCUUAACUAAAUUUAAAAAAUGAGUCCCAGUUUUUCUCCCAAACCCAAACAGUGAUUCACAGAUAUCUCAAUAUCUGAUGGUGUCUCUUAAAAUGAGAUCUAAAGUUGAGUACAUGUAAUAUUUUUCAUUUGUAUAGUUCUGUGCCCAACAUGAUGAUUCAACUUUUUCAUAUGCAGCAAAUUUUGUAUCUUAAUUGAGCCAAUGUAUGGGUGAAAAAAUAUUACUUUGAAUGCAGUUGACAUUGGAGGAGAUUUCAUGUGUUGAUAAUGACACGGAACCAACUUGGAUGUCCAAUUAUUGAAUUUUGUCAAGAUAAAGAGCAGUGGAUGAUUGAGCAAUAAUGCCAAAAUUAAUCUAAUUUAAGUGAGCUUUUAUUAUAAAUCUUUAGUUACCGUAAGUUAUCAACUUUCGAAUGAUUGGACAAUAAAAACUACUUACAAACCAAAUUGGAUUGGUCUAUUGGUUAACUCACUAGUCUGCUUAAACAAGUAUUGGGGGUUCAAAUCCCACCUUGUGCAUGCAUCAAUCUAUUAGCCAGUGGCAAACCCUUUAAAUGGAGCUCAGUAUCGCGACAAAUUAGUCUUUGAUAUGUCGGGUUGGGAAAUACCGUCGAAACCAAAAAUAAACACUACUUGCACAAGAUCUACUUACACAAGAUUGAUUUGACAUUCUGUUGUGAAGUUACUUUAUAUAACCCAAUCCUAGUCUGUUGUCUCAGAUAUAUAACUCUAGCUGUGGAGGCCUGUGUAACAUGGAUGAAAAUGUUCGAAAGUUUAUUAUAAUAUAAACUUUUAUUGUGGCUUA